UACGGGGGGAGCAAGCGUUGUUCGGAUUUACUGGGCGUAAAGGGCGCGUAGGCGGCCACCGCAAGUCGGUUGUGAAAUCUCCGGGCUUAACCCGGAAAGGUCAAUCGAUACUGCGGGGCUAGAGUGCAGAAGGGGCAACUGGAAUUCUCGGUGUAGCGGUGAAAUGCGUAGAUAUGACAUAGAACACCAAUUGCGAAGGCAGCUGGCUACACGAAUACUGACACUGAGGCACGAAAGCGUGGGGAUCAAACAGG
rnacentral:rRNA from 1 species